GACGUAGGGCGCGAGCGUUGUCCGGAUUUAUUGGGCGUAAAGAGCUCGUAGGCGGUCUGUUGCGUCCGCUGUGAAAACCCAGGGCUUAACCCUGGGCUUGCAGUGGAUACGGGCAGACUAGAGGCAGGUAGGGGAGAAUGGAAUUCCCGGUGUAGCGGUGAAAUGCGCAGAUAUCGGGAGGAACACCGGUGGCGAAGGCGGUUCUCUGGGCCUGACCUGACGCUGAGGAGCGAAAGCGUGGGGAGCGAACAGG
rnacentral:rRNA from 1 species